rnacentral:rRNA from 1 species
ACUCAAAGAAUAGACGGGGGCCCGCACAAGCGGUGGAACAUGUGGUUUAAUUCGAAGCAACGCGAAGAACCUUACCAGGGCUUGACAUCUGAGGAAAGUUGCGGAAACGUGACUGUGCUCGCAAGAGAACCUCAAGACAGGUGGUGCAUGGCUGUCGUCAGCUCGUGUCGUGAGAUGUUGGGUUAAGUCCCGCAACGAGCGCAACCCUCGUUGUUAGUUGCCAUCAGGUAAAGCUGGGCACUCUAGCGAGACUGCCGGUGACAAACCGGAGGAAGGUGGGGACGAGGUCAAGUCAUCAUGCCCUUUAUGCCCUGGGCUACACACGUGUUACAAUGGCUAGGACAAUGUGAAGCAAGACCGCGAGGUGGAGCGAAUCACCAAACCUAGUCCCAGUUCGGAUCGCAGGCUGCAACUCGCCUGCGUGAAGUCGGAAUCGCUAGUAAACGCCGAUCAGCACGCGGCGUUGAAUACGUUCCCGGGCCUUGUACACACCGCCCGU